rnacentral:rRNA from 1 species
GCCUGCAGCUAGCUCUGUGCAACUAUCACAUGGUCACCCAUUGAAGCUAAGCAGGGCUGCGACUGGCCAGUACCUAGAUGGGAAACCCCAUGGGAAAGCUAGGUUGCUGUUGAAA